rnacentral:rRNA from 1 species
GAUGAACGCUGGCGGCGUGCCUAAUACAUGCAAGUAGAACGCUGAAGGAGGAGCUUGCUCUUCUGGAUGAGUUGCGAACGGGUGAGUAACGCGUAGGUAACCUGCCUGUUAGCGGGGGAUAACUAUUGGAAACGAUAGCUAAUACCGCAUGACAACAGUUAUUGCAUGAUAACUGUUUAAAAGGGGCAACUGCUCCACUACCAGAUGGACCUGCGUUGUAUUAGCUAGUUGGUGAGGUAACGGCUCACCAAGGCGACGAUACAUAGCCGACCUGAGAGGGUGAUCGGCCACACUGGGACUGAGACACGGCCCAGACUCCUACGGGAGGCAGCAGUAGGGAAUCUUCGGCAAUGGACGGAAAUCUGACCGAGCAACGCCGCGUGAGUGAAGAAGGUUUUCGGGUCGUAAAGCUCUGUUGUAAGAGAAGAACGAGUGUGAGAGUGGAAAGUUCACACUGUGACGGUAUCUUACCAGAAAGGGACGGCUAACUACGUG